rnacentral:rRNA from 1 species
GACGAACCGUGCGAACGUUGUUCGGAAUAACUGGGCUUAAAGGGAGCGUAGGCGGGCUAACAAGUCUGGGGUGAAAUCCCGCGGCUCAACCGUGGAACUGCCUUAGAUACUGUCGGCCUCGAGGGAGAUAGGGGCAUGCGGAACUAACGGUGGAGCGGUGAAAUGCGUUGAUAUCGUUAGGAACUCCGGUGGCGAAAGCGGCGUGCUGGAUCUCUUCUGACGCUGAGGCUCGAAAGCUAGGGGAGCAA